rnacentral:misc_RNA from 1 species
GAUGAAGAACGCAGCGAAAUGCGAUACCUGGUGUGAAUUGCAGAAUCCCGUGAACCAUCGAGUUUUUGAACGCAAGUUGCGCCCGAAGCCGUUAGGCCGAGGGCACGCCUGCCUGGGUGUCACACAUCGUUGCCCCAAUGCCAAUCGCCUCACUUUGUAGGUAUUUGCUUGGGGUGAAUGAUGGCCUCCCGUGAGCUUUGUCUCACGGUUGGUUGAAAAUCGAGUGCAUGGUGUCGGGUGUACCAUGAUGGAUGGUGGUUGAGUGAUGAUGCUCGAGACCAAUCAUGGGUAACUCCACCAGAAUUGGGCUCGGUGACCCACAUGCGUCCCUUGGAUGCUCCCUAAGGAGACCUCAGGUCAGGCGGGGCUACCCGCUGAGUUUAAGCAUAUCAAUAAGCGGAGGA